rnacentral:snRNA from 1 species
UUGCUUCGGCAGUACAUAAACUAAAAUUGGAACGAUACAGAGAAGAUUAGCAUGGCCCCUGCGCAAGGAUGACACGCAAAAUCGUGAAGCGUUCCACAUUUAA